rnacentral:rRNA from 1 species
GAUGAACGCUAGCGAUAGGCUUAACACAUGCAAGUCGAGGGGCAGCGAGGGUAGCAAUACCUGUCGGCGACCGGCGCACGGGUGAGUAACGCGUAUGUAACCUGCCCGCAACAGGGGGAUAACCCGGCGAAAGUCGGACUAAUACCGCAUAAAACAGGGGCCCCGCAUGGGAAUAUUUGUUAAAGAUUUAUCGGUUGCGGAUGGGCAUGCGUACCAUUAGGUAGUUGGUGAGGUAACGGCUCACCAAGCCUUCGAUGGUUAGGGGUUCUGAGAGGAAGGUCCCCCACACUGGUACUGGGACACGGACCAGACUCAUACGGGAGGCAGCAGUGAGGAAUAUUGGUGAAUGGGCGAGAGCCUGAACCAGCCAAGUCGCGUGAAGGAUGACUGCCCUAUGGGUUGUAAACUUCUUUUACAAGGGAAUAAAAUGAGAUACGUGUAUUUUAUUGCAUGUACCUUGGGAAUAAGCAUCGGCUAACUCCGUG